UCGAUUGUCCCAGCCGCCGCGGUAAUACGUAGGGUGCAAGCGUUAUCCGGAAUUAUUGGGCGUAAAGGGCUCGUAGGCGGUUCGUCGCGUCCGGCGUGAAAGUCCAUCGCUUAACGGUGGAUCCGCGCCGGGUACGGGCGGGCUUGAGUGCGGUAGGGGAGACUGGAAUUCCCGGUGUAACGGUGGAAUGUGUAGAUAUCGGGAAGAACACCAAUGGCGAAGGCAGGUCUCUGGGCCGUUACUGACGCUGAGGAGCGAAAGCGUGGGGAGCGAACAGGAUUAGAUACCCUGGUAGUCCACGCCGUAAACGGUGGAUGCUGGAUGUGGGGCCCGUUCCACGGGUUCCGUGUCGGAGCUAACGCGUUAAGCAUCCCGCCUGGGGAGUACGGCCGCAAGGCUAAAACUCAAAGAAAUUGACGGGGGCCCGCACAAGCGGCGGAGCAUGCGGAUUAAUUCGAUGCAACGCGAAGGACCUUACCUGGGCUUGACAUGUUCCCGACGAUCCCAGAGAUGGGGUUUCCCUUCGGGGCGGGUUCACAGGUGGUGCAUGGUCGUCGUCAGCUCGUGUCGUGAGAUGUUUGGGUUAAGUCCCGCAACGAGCGCAACCCUCGCCCCGUGUUGCCAGCGGAUUGUGCCGGGAACUCACGGGGGACCGCCGGGGUUAACUCGGAGGAAGGUGGGGAUGACGUCAGAUCAUCAUGCCCCUUACGUCCAGGGCUUCACGCAUGCUACAAUGGCCGGUACAACGGGAUGCGACGCGGCGACGCGGAGCGGAUCCCUGAAAACCGGUCUCAGUUCGGAUCGCAGUCUGCAACUCGACUGCGUGAAGGCGGAGUCGCUAGUAAUCGCGAAUCAGCAACGUCGCGGUGAAUGCGUUCCCGGGCCUUGUACACACCGCCCGUCAAGUCAUGAAAGUGGGCAGCACCCGAAGCCGGUGGCCUAACCCCUUGUGGGAUGGAGCCGUCUAAGGUGAGGCUCGUGAUUGGGACUAAGUCGUAA
rnacentral:rRNA from 1 species